rnacentral:rRNA from 1 species
UACGUAGGGGGCGAGCGUUGUCCGGAAUCAUUGGGCGUAAAGCGCGUGUAGGCGGCCACACAGGUCCGCUGUGAAAACUCGAGGCUCAACCUCGAGCUGUCGGUGGAAACCGUGUGGCUAGAGUCCGGAAGAGGAGACUGGAAUUCCCGGUGUAGCGGUGGAAUGCGCAGAUAUCGGGAGGAACACCCGUGGCGAAGGCGGGUCUCUGGGACGGUACUGACGCUGAGACGCGAAAGCGUGGGGAGCGAACAGG